rnacentral:rRNA from 1 species
AAGCUCGUAGUUGAAUUUCGGGGUUCUACCGUUGGUCGGGCUAACAAGUCUGUACUAGCGUGUAGAAUCUCUACCUUCUGGGGAACCACCAUGUUAUUAAUUUAGCGUGGUGGGAAACCAGGACCUUUACCUUGAAAAAAUUAGAGUGUUCAAAGCAGGCUUACGUCUGAAUACAUUAGCAUGGAAUAAUAAAAUAGGACGGUGGUCCUGUUUUGUUGGUUUCUGAAUCACCGUAAUGAUUAAUAGGGAUAGUUGGG